rnacentral:rRNA from 1 species
CCCGGGCCUUGUACACACCGCCCGUCACACCAUGGGAGUGGGCUGCAAAAGAAGUGGGUAGUUUAACCUUCGGGAGGACGCUCACCACUUUGUGGUUCAUGACUAGGGUGAAGUCGUAACAAGGUAGCCCUAGGGGAACCUGGGGCUGGAUCACCUCCUUAUACGAAGAU